AAGUUUUUACUCAUAUAACUCUCUCAUUUUCUCUCUAUCUCUCACACGGCCUCUCACAUUCACACACACACACACACACACAACCCCACCGGCGCUGACGAGCAGAGCCAUUGGCUCUCUCUCCCUCACCACAAGAUCCUUUCUCCCUUUCUCCCUCUCUCACCUUACCACCCCCAUACCCAUAUCCAUUCCGAUUUUGCUGAUGUUGGAAACUUGGACCACUACGCAAAGUACUUGAACCAAACGCUUGUUACGUAUGGAUUUCCGGCUUCGUCAAUGACUCUGCUAACGAGCAAAGACAGCGCAUUUUGACCAAGUGGGUUUUUCAUUUGUGCAAGUCUGGAGUUGUCUCCACGUGAAGGCCAACUGAAAGAUGCUCGUUGAUGAUAUUGUAGACAUGACAAUUACCAAUGAUGGUGUUACAAUACUGAAGAUGCUAUAAUUUUUUGAUGGCUUUUUGUGUACAAAGAACCACAUUUAAACAAUUGCAUUUUUUGGAAGUGUUGAAGGAUUUGUUUCAAUACUUUAGAAUUUUGAUAAUGGUUAUAGACAAUGUUAUGUAUUUGAUAAUAUAUUGUUAAUAUAAUAUUAGUUUGGAGACAUUUGUAGUGUUA